GAGCUUGCUCCCUGAAGUUAGCGGCGGACGGGUGAGUAACACGUGGGCAACCUGCCUGUAAGACUGGGAUAACUUCGGGAAACCGGAGCUAAUACCGGAUACGUUCUUUCCUCGCAUGAGGAAAGAUGGAAAGACGGUUUCGGCUGUCACUUACAGAUGGGCCCGCGGCGCAUUAGCUAGUUGGUGAGGUAAUGGCUCACCAAGGCCACGAUGCGUAGCCGACCUGAGAGGGUGAUCGGCCACACUGGGACUGAGACACGGCCCAGACUCCUACGGGAGGCAGCAGUAGGGAAUCUUCCGCAAUGGACGAAAGUCUGACGGAGCAACGCCGCGUGAGCGAAGAAGGCCUUCGGGUCGUAAAGCUCUGUUGUUAGGGAAGAACAAGUGCCAGAGUAACUGCUGGCACCUUGACGGUACCUAACCAGAAAGCCACGGCUAACUACGUGCCAGCAGCCGCGGUAAUACGUAGGUGGCAAGCGUUGUCCGGAAUUAUUGGGCGUAAAGCGCGCGCAGGUGGUUCCUUAAGUCUGAUGUGAAAGCCCACGGCUCAACCGUGGAGGGUCAUUGGAAACUGGGGGACUUGAGUGCAGAAGAGGAAAGUGGAAUUCCAAGUGUAGCGGUGAAAUGCGUAGAGAUUUGGAGGAACACCAGUGGCGAAGGCGACUUUCUGGUCUGUAAC
rnacentral:rRNA from 1 species